rnacentral:rRNA from 1 species
ACCUUACCGGGAUUUGACAUCCUACAGACGAAGCAGAGAUGCAUUAGGUGCCCUUCGGGGAAUGUAGAGACAGGUGGUGCAUGGUUGUCGUCAGCUCGUGUCGUGAGAUGUUGGGUUAAGUCCCGCAACGAGCGCAACCCUUAUUGUUAGUUGCUACGGAAGAGCACUCUAGCAAGACUGCCGUUGACAAAACGGAGGAAGGCGGGGACGACGUCAAAUCAUCAUGCCCCUUAUGUCCCGGGCUACACACGUAAUACAAUGGCGGUCAACAGAGGGAAGCAAAGCCGCGAGGCAGAGCAAACCCCCAAAAGCCGUCUCAGUUCGGAUCGCAGUCUGCAACUCGACUGCGUGAAGUUGGAAUUGCUAGUAAUCGCGGAUCAGCAUGCCGCGGUGAAUACGUUCCCGGGCCUUGUACACACCGCCCGUCACACCAUGAGAGCCGGGAACACCCGAAGUCCGUAGUCUAACCGCAAGGGGGGCGCGGCCGAAAGGUGGGUCUGAUAAUUGGGGUG